UGCAGUCGACGAGCUUCGUUGAUGACGUGCUUGCACUGAUUUCAACAAUGAAGCGAGUGGCGAACUGGUGAGUAACACGUGGGGAAUCUGCCCAGAAGCAGGGGAUAACACUUGGAAACAGGUGCUAAUACCGUAUAACAACAAAAUCCGCAUGGAUUUUGUUUGAAAGGUGGCUUCGGCUAUCACUUCUGGAUGAUCCCGCGGCGUAUUAGUUAGUUGGUGAGGUAAAGGCCCACCAAGACGAUGAUACGUAGCCGACCUGAGAGGGUAAUCGGCCACAUUGGGACUGAGACACGGCCCAAACUCCUACGGGAGGCAGCAGUAGGGAAUCUUCCACAAUGGACGAAAGUCUGAUGGAGCAAUGCCGCGUGAGUGAAGAAGGGUUUCGGCUCGUAAAACUCUGUUGUUAAAGAAGAACACCUUUGAGAGUAACUGUUCAAGGGUUGACGGUAUUUAACCAGAAAGCCACGGCUAACUACGUGCCAGCAGCCGCGGUAAUACGUAGGUGGCAAGCGUUGUCCGGAUUUAUUGGGCGUAAAGCGAGCGCAGGCGGUUUUUUAAGUCUGAUGUGAAAGCCUUCGGCUUAACCGGAGAAGUGCAUCGGAAACUGAGAGACUUGAGUGCAGAAGAGGACAGUGGAACUCCAUGUGUAGCGGUGGAAUGCGUAGAUAUAUGGAAGAACACCAGUGGCGAAAGGCGGCUGUCUAGUCUGUAACUGACGCUGAGGCUCGAAAGCAUGGGUAGCGAACAGGAUUAGAUACCCUGGUAGUCCAUGCCGUAAACGAUGAGUGCUAAGUGUUGGAGGGUUUCCGCCCUUCAGUGCUGCAGCUAACGCAUUAAGCACUUCGCUGGGGAGUACGACCGCAGUUGAACUCAAAUGAUUGACGGGG
rnacentral:rRNA from 2 species